rnacentral:rRNA from 1 species
AUUGAACGCUGGCGGCAGGCUUAACACAUGCAAGUCGAGCGGAGAUGAGGUGCUUGCACCUUAUCUUAGCGGCGGACGGGUGAGUAAUGCUUAGGAAUCUGCCUAUUAGUGGGGGACAACAUUCCGAAAGGAAUGCUAAUACCGCAUACGCCCGACGGGGGAAAGCAGGGGAUCGUCGGACCUUGCGCUAAUAGAUGAGCCUAAGUCGGAUUAGCUAGUUGGUGGGGUAAAGGCCUACCAAGGCGACGAUCUGUAGCGGGUCGUGAGAGGAUGAUCCGCCACACUGGGACUGAGACACGGCCCAGACUCCUACGGGAGGCAGCAGUGGGGAAUAUUGGACAAUGGGCGGAAGCCUGAUCCAGCCAUGCCGCGUGUGUGAAGAAGGCCUUUUGGUUGUAAAGCACUUUAAGCGAGGAGGAGGCUACCUGGAUUAAUACUCUAGGAUAGUGGACGUUACUCGCAGAAUAAGCACCGGCUAACUCUGUGCCAGCAGCCGCCGUAAAAC